rnacentral:rRNA from 1 species
CGCACCUUGCGCUCCUUGGUAUUCCGAGGAGCAUGCCUGUUUGAGUGUCAUUAAAUUCUCAACUUCACCAAUUUUGUUGAUGAAGCUUGGAUGUGGGGGUCUGCAGAACCUGUUUUCACGGUGUACUGCUCCUCUGAAAUGAAUUAGCGAGUUCAAACUAGGCUCGGUCUAUUGGUGUGAUAAUUAUCUACGCCGUGGAUUGGGCUUAGACUUGCUUCUAACCGUCUGCAAAGACAAACUCUGACCAAUUUGACCUCAAAUCAGGUAGGACUACCCGCUGAACUUAAGCAUAUCAAUAAGCGGAGGAAAAGAAACUAACAAGGAUUCCCCUAGUAACUGCGAGUGAAGCGGGAAAAGCUCAAAUUUAAAAUCUGGUGGUCUUUGGCCAUCCGAGUUGUAAUCUAGAGAAGUGUUACCCGCGUCGGACCGUGUACAAGUCUCCUGGAAUGGAGCGUCAUAGAGGGUGAGAAUCCCGUCUUUGACACGGACUACCGAGGCUUUGUGGUGCACUCUCAAAGAGUCGAGUUGUUUGGGAAUGCAGCUCAAAAUGGGUGGUAAAUUCCAUCUAAAGCUAAAUAUUGGCGAGAGACCGAUAGCGAACAAGUACCGUGAGGGAAAGAUGAAAAGAACUUUGGAAAGAGAGUUAAACAGUACGUGAAAUUGCUGAAAGGGAAACGCUUGAAGUCAGUCGCGUUAGCCGGGAAUCAGCCUUGCUUCUGCUGGGUGUAUUUUCUGGUUGACGGGCCAGCAUCAGUUUUGACCGGUGGAAAAAGUCUAGAGGAAUGUGGCAUCUUCGGAUGUGUUAUAGCCUCUGGUCGUAUACAUCGAUUGGGACUGAGGAACUCAGC